UUAGGGGGUCUCGGGGGGUUUAAGAAGCACCCUCAGCCAGUUGGAGGGGUCCCUGGGGUAGUAGGGAGGGGCGCAGAAAAUUUUAAGGGGUUUCUGGGGCAGUUUAGGGGAUCCUAGGGGGAGUUGAGAAGGUCCGAGGAGUUUAAGGAGCUCCGCUGGGCAGUUGGGGGGCUCCCCGGGACAGUUUAGGGGGUCCAAGGGGCAGUUUAGGGGUCCCCGGGGCAGUUGAAAGGGGUCCUGGGGACAGUUGAGAGGGUCUGGGGGGGUUUAAGGAGCACCCUGGGCUUCUUGGGGGGUCCUCGGGGCAGCUGGGGGGUCCCUGGAGCAGUUAACAGGGUCUGGGGGAUUUAAGGAGCACCGUGGGGCAGUUGGGGGGGGUUCUGGUGGCAGCUGGGGGGGUCCCAGGGGCAGUUGAGUAGGUCCGGGGUGUUUAAGGAGCACCCUGGAGCAAAUGGGGGGGUCCCUGGCGUAGUUGGGGAGGAUUGUGGGGAGUUUAGGGGGUCCCUGGGGUAGUUGAGAAGGGUUGUGGGGCAGUUUAGGGGGUCCCCAGAGCAGGAUAGGGGUCUCAGGAUCAGUUCGGGGAGCCCAGGGGCAAUUCGGAGGACCUUGGGGCAGCUGGGAGGGGGGCAUGGGGCAGGUUAGAGGCCCUGAGGGCCAGUUGAGGGCCCUUUGGGGCAGUUUGGGGGUUCCUGGGGCAGGAUACAGAGUUGGGGGGGGGCAAUUUGAAGGGGCAGAUAAAAAACAAGGGGGCAGUAGGAGGAUGAAGGAUGAAGUCGGGGGGGGGUCCUUUGGCCCCAGGGGGACAGCGGUGACGGAGGGGUGCUCGAGAGGGAAAGCUGGGGCUGACGGGGGGCAGCUUGGGGGGCAUGUAGGGGCCGGGGGGGCAGUUGUUUCCAUGGGGCAGUUGUUGCUGCCCCUCAGGCGAUGCAGCGAAGGCGCCACGGAGGCCUCUGCACCACGGGGGGCACAGUGCAGGGGCCGGAGCUGAGGCACCCCAUCGCCAGCGACUCGGAGGACGACGAGACGUGGCGGUGCCCGACCACUGGCAACACCGCCUCACCCCAAGUUGUGCCAGAGAGCGACCCGGAGGAGCCAGAUGUGUGCCCAGACAUUCGCGUGCUCCGAAAGCGCCGUCCCACCCCAGCCCUGGGCCUCCGCACAGAUUUGGCCCAAUCCCACCUGGAUCCGGACGUCGGGGGACCCAAAAAGCGCCGUUUGUGUCCCAAAACUACCCCAGCUCCAGAUGUGGGGAACAAAACGGCAAUUUCAGACAUUCGGCCCCAAAAUCACUCCCCAAACCCAAAAGGGCAGGUGGAUCCAGAUGUGAAGCACCUGGGAGGCAGCACAGUGGCUCUUGGCAUUGAAAGCGAUACAGAUGACGAGAUGCACCCAAAAUCUGCUCUUUUUCACCCUAACCGUCACCAGGCCGCCCUGGAGGCAAGUGGUGACCCAAAUGUGGAGAAACGAGGCCCAAAUCCAGGUGCUGAAGGUGCCCAAAAUGGGCGUUGGAUGCUCGCGGUGGACAGCGACACGGACGUGGAGGAGGCUGACGUUCUUCCGUCUGUUGGAUGCCCAAAAAUGCGUCGAAAGGCCCAAAGGGUGCCAAAAGCCCCAGGUGUGGAGAUGAAGCCCCCAAAUCCAGAUGCUGGCAGUUCGAAAAAUGGAUUCCAGACGCUCGUGGUGGAUAGUGACACGGAUGUGGAGAUGGAGAGCUCAAAUUCAGCUGUGGAGGAUCCCCAACGUGGACAUCAGGCAUUCGGGGUGGACAGUGACACAGAUGUGGAGGAAGGUGGAGCAAAUCCAGCUGUUGGGCUGGCCAAAACCCCUCAAACGACCGAAAACACCCCGAACUCUUCAAACAUAAAGAUGAAGAGCCCACAUUCAGCUGUUAAAGGCCCCCAUGAGGAACAUCCACCGCUCACAGUAGACAGCGAUACUGAUGUGGAAGAGGACAGAGCAAAUCCAGAUGUUGUGUGCCUCCCAACCCCUCAAACGGCCCAAAACGCACCAAAACCCCCAAAUAUUGAGCUGGAGACUCCAAACCCAGAUGCUGACGGAUGCCAAAAGGAGAACUGGAUGCUUGUGGUAGACAGUGAUACGGACGUUGAAGACAACAUCCUUCCAGAUGUUGUCAGCCCAAAACCCCACGCAAUGACCCACAGAGACCCAGGUGUGGAGACCCGAGGUCAAGAUGCUGAGGGACCCAAAAUGAGAUGCCGGUCCCCACUGGUGGACAGCAAUACAGAUGUGGAUGAGGAGCCUUCGAGUGCAGAAGGCAGGGAUCCAAAACCGCAUCAAAUAACCCAAAAUGCACAGAGGAACCUGGAUGCAGAGAUGCGGACCCCGAGUCCACAUCCUAGAGAACCGCAAAGUGGGCACGAGAUGGUCAAAGUGGACAGCGAUACAGAUGUGGAUGAGGAGCCUUCGAGUGCAGAAGGCAGGGAUCCAAAACCACAUCAAAUAACCCAGAAUGCACAGAGGAACCUGGAUGCAGAGAUGCAGACCCUGAGUCCACGUCCUGGAGAACCGCAAAGUGGGCACGAGAUGGUCAAAGUGGACAGCGAUACAGAUGUGGAUGAGGACCCUUCCGAUCCAGAAGGUAGGGAUCCAAAACCACAUCAAAUAACCCAGAAUGCACAGAGAAACACGGAUGUGGAGAUGGAGACCCCAAGUCCACAUCCUGGAGAACUGCAAAGCGGACACGAGAUGGUCAAAGUGGACAGCGAUACAGAUGUGGAGGAGGAUGGGCUGAAUCCAGAUGUUGGGUGUCGAGAAACCCAUAGAAUGACCCCAAAAAUCCACAAUGACUCAGACGUAGCAAUAAAGACCCCAAAUCCUGAUCUUGAAGGUCCCCAAAACAGAGGCCAGAACCUGGAGGUGGACAGCGACACAGAUGUAGAGGGAGAAGACCUGAACCCAGAUGUUCCUGGCCUGAAAAACCACAAAACGCCCCAAAAUGCCCAGAAGGACCCAACUGUGGUGAUGGAAACCCCGAAUCCAGAUGUUGUCGGCCUCCACCGUGGCUCGAUGCCACCCGGCAGUGACAGCGACACGGAUGUGGAGGGCCUCGAGGACAUUGAAACUCCAAAAACGCGUCGGACCACACGUGAGGUUACCGGGAUGGGUGCUAAGAAUGCCGCUGCUCCAGAUGUUGAUCCUCGGUGGCACGCCUGGACCAAGGGGGGGCUAAAUGUGAAGGGGACAGCCCCAAAUCCAGAUGUUGGUCAGCACGUGGACCUAAACGUGGACAGUGAUACCAGGGUCGAGGACAAUGGUGUGGUGCCAGAUGUUGGGGCUGUACAAGGGGGGCAGGGGACACCUGGUGAUCCAGAUGUGGCGAUGGCACCCUUAGAUCCAGAUGUUUCCCCUCCUGUGACCCCCCAGAGUGGCAGCGACACCGACGUGGAGGAGGUGGCCCCCACUCCCUACGUUCGGAGCCUCCGGAGCAAAACCCGACCCCGAAAUCCAGAUGUUGUGGACACCGCAAUGGGCAGCGAUACCAAUGUGGGGCUGACGGACCCCAAAUGCCAGAAACCAGUCCAAAACAGGCAGGGUUUGCCCCCCAAAUCAUGCAGUGACGGAGGUGUGGAAGGAGAGGUGCCAAAACGGCAUGAUUUAGCCCCAAAUACAGACGCGGAGGACCCGAAUCCAGAUGACAAGGUGCAACAACACAACCCCCAGACCUCAGUGAUGGGCAGCGAUACAGAUGUGGCGCCAGCUGGUCUGGCCCCCAAAUCUCCAAUUACGGCCCCAAAUUUGAGCCUCGGUGGUGAUGCUGCUUGGGGAUCCAGGAGUGCUCAGGCCACCCCUCAUGGGGACACAGAUGCGGAGGUGGCAGAAAGUGAAACUGAGGGUGAGUGGGGUGGCCUUUGUCACCUCUGUCCCUUCCUUGAUCACCUUGGUUCCUUGGCCACCUGGGUUCCUUCCUUGGUUCUUUUGGUCCCCUUGUCCCCUUCCUUGGCCACCUGGGUCCCUUCCUUGGCC
ensembl:lncRNA